AGGAUAAAGAUUCAAAAUUCAGAUUGAUUCUUAUUGAGGCAAGGAUCCACAGACUUGCUCGCUAUUACAAAGCAAAGAGGGUCCUGGCACCCAAUUGGAAAUAUGAAUCAGCAACUGCCUCAGCUCUUGUUGCGUAAACUUGUAAAACUUCAUUAUUGAAUGAGAAUCAUGUAGCAAA